rnacentral:rRNA from 1 species
AGCAGCCGCGGUAAUUCCAGCUCCAAUAGCGUAUAUUAAAGUUGUUGCAGUUAAAAAGCUCGUAGUUGAAUUUCGGGAUCAUCAGGUUGGUCGUGCCUCUGGUAUGUACUGAUUUCGAUGGUUCCUCCUUCUUGAAGAACCGUAAUGCCAUUAAUUUGGUGUUGCGGGGAAACAGGACUGUUACUUUGAAAAAAUUAGAGUGUUUAAAGCAGGCAAUCGCUUGAAUACAUUAGCAUGGAAUAAUGAAAUAGGACGUUCGAUCCUAUUUUGUUGGUUUCUAGGAUUGACGUAAUGAUUAAUAGGGAUAGUUGGGGGCAUUAGUAUUCAAUUGUCAGAGGUGAAAUUCUUGGAUUUAUUGAAGACUAACUACUGCGAAAGCAUUUGCCAAGGAUGUUUUCAUUAAUCAAGAACGAAAGUUAGGGGAUCGAAGACGAUCAGAUACCGUCGUAGUCUUAACCAUAAACUAUGCCGACUAGGGAUCGGAUGAUGUUAAUUUUUAAUGACUCAUUCGGCGCCUUAA